GUUGAGGGAAGCCUAGCCGAGGUGGUUUGGGUAUGUGUGUGUGUCAGGCGUGCGAGCGUAGCGUAUCUAACGUGCGAGAUGCAGUGGGCUGCUGUGAGCAGGGGGGGGGGGGGAGGCCCCUCGCCUCCUCCUCACCGCUCGGCCCGGCACACUCUCAGUCCUCGCCCAAGUCCCAACCACUAUUUGAGUCAGGCGUGUCUCCUCGCGCUCCUCAGCCUGUCCCUUGUUUGAGGGGUUUGCCCCUGUUAGAUCACUUCUUGACCUGGAGUGGGUCUUUGUCUAGGUUCUGGGACCUUCUGUUGUUUGUAGAGGCUGGAGGAAAGGGACACACUGCCUGUGAAGGGUAGUUGAGGUCGACUCGUAGUGCAGAGUGGCGAGCGAGGCUCAGGCUUGCUGCCGACGGUUGGCGGGCAGCAGCGGGGUGAGGUACUAAAACGUUAUAUACAUGCAGUAGACAAAGUAAAACAUAAAUAGUGACCGAUAUGGCAACAUCAUCAGCUGGUAUUCACCGCUCACCAGAGUAGGCGUAGAAAAAGCUUUGCUCAGAGACGUUUUCGCUUAUAGCACAAAACUUUACAUAUACAACAGGUACUUAGAACCCAUUUUCCUUUGGUUUUGGACCACAAGGAUUCCAUUUCCGCAAUAAAAAAAAAUAGCUCAAACCCCGCCGCACUGGCGGUACAUGUUUUAAAAAACUAUGCCGCAGCGGACGGGUUAA